rnacentral:rRNA from 1 species
GACGAACGCUGGCGGCGUGCUUAACACAUGCAAGUCGAACGGAAAGGCCCUGCUUUUGUGGGGUGCUCGAGUGGCGAACGGGUGCGUAACACGUGAGUAACCUGCCCUUGACUUUGGGAUAACUUCAGGAAACUGGGGCUAAUACCGGAUAGGAGCUCCUGCUGCAUGGUGGGGGUUGGAACGUUUCGGCGGUUGGGGAUGGACUCGCGGCUUAUCAGCUUGUUGGUGGGGUAGUGGCUUACCAAGGCUUUGACGGGUAGCCGGCCUGAGAGGGUGACCGGCCACAUUGGGACUGAGAUACGGCCCAGACUCCUACGGGAGGCAGCAGUGGGGAAUAUUGCACAAUGGGCGGAAGCCUGAUGCAGAAACGCCGCGUGCGGGAUGACGGCCUUCGGGUUGUAAACCGCUUUCGCCUGUGACGAAGCGUGAGUGACGGUAAUGAGUAAAGAAGCACCGGCUAACUACGUG